UUACUUCGGUACAUCGGUGACAGGUGGUGCAUGGUUGUCGUCAGCUCGUGUCGUGAGAUGUUGGUUAAGUCCCGCAACGAGCGCAACCCCUAUUGUUAGUUGCCAUCAUUCAGUUGGGCACUCUAGCGAGACUGCCGGUAAUAAACCGGAGGAAGGUGGGGAUGACGUCAAAUCAUCAUGCCCCUUAUGGCCUGGGCUACACACGUGCUACAAUGGUUGGUACAACGAGUUGCGAGUCGGUGACGGCGAGCUAAUCUCUUAAAGCCAAUCUCAGUUCGGAUUGUAGGCUGCAACUCGCCUACAUGAAGUCGGAAUCGCUAGUAAUCGCGGAUCAGCACGCCGCGGUGAAUACGUUCCCGGGCCUU
rnacentral:rRNA from 1 species